AGAGUUUGAUCCUGGCUCAGGAUGAACGCUGGCGGCGUGCCUAAUACAUGCAAGUCGAGCGAACAGAUAAGGAGCUUGCUCCUUUGAAGUUAGCGGCGGACGGGUGAGUAACACGUGGGUAACCUACCUAUAAGACUGGGAUAACUUCGGGAAACCGGAGCUAAUACCGGAUAACAUUUAGAACCGCAUGGUUCUAAAGUGAAAGAUGGUUUUGCUAUCACUUAUAGAUGGACCCGCGCCGUAUUAGCUAGUUGGUAAGGUAACGGCUUACCAAGGCGACGAUACGUAGCCGACCUGAGAGGGUGAUCGGCCACACUGGAACUGAGACACGGUCCAGACUCCUACGGGAGGCAGCAGUAGGGAAUCUUCCGCAAUGGGCGAAAGCCUGACGGAGCAACGCCGCGUGAGUGAUGAAGGGUUUCGGCUCGUAAAACUCUGUUAUUAGGGAAGAACAGAUGUGUAAGUAACUGUGCACAUCUUGACGGUACCUAAUCAGAAAGCCACGGCUAACUACGUG
rnacentral:rRNA from 1 species